rnacentral:piRNA from 1 species
UAGGGUGCUGUUUUGUCCUAAUGAUGAUGU